GCCUGGCUGGCUUAGCAGGUAGAGUAUGUGACUCUUAAUCUCAGGGUUGUGAGUUCAAGCCCCAUGUUGGGUA
rnacentral:tRNA from 1 species